GACGAACGCUGGCGGCGUGCUUAACACAUGCAAGUCGAACGGAAAGGCCCUGCUUUUGUGGGGUGCUCGAGUGGCGAACGGGUGAGUAGCACGUGAGUAACCUGCCCUUGACUUUGGGAUAACUUCAGGAAACUGGGGCUAAUACCGGAUAGGAGCUCCUGCUGCAUGGUGGGGGUUGGAAAGUUUCGGCGGUUGGGGAUGGACUCGCGGCUUAUCAGCUUGUUGGUGGGGUAGUGGCUUACCAAGGCUUUGACGGGUAGCCGGCCUGAGAGGGUGACCGGCCACAUUGGGACUGAGAUACGGCCCAGACUCCUACGGGAGGAAGCAGUGGGGAAUAUUGCACAAUGGGCGGAAGCCUGAUGCAGCAACGCCGCGUGCGGGAUGACGGCCUUCGGGUUGUAAACCGCUUUCGCCUGUGACGAAGCGUGAGUGACGGUAAUGGGUAAAGAAGCACCGGCUAACUACGUG
rnacentral:rRNA from 1 species